AAUGUGCUAAUGACGUGGAAAGUAGUUAUACAAAUGGCUGAUUAGAGAGGGACGGACAUGGCUGAAAUCCAUCCUGCAGACAGGUAUGAUGAAAAACACCAUCGAAGCUCCAUGCCGAACGAAGAACUUUUCAGUAGGUAUGGACGGAACCGGCCGUUAUCCGGAUUUGAGUGGGCGCAGGAUUUGUCGGCGCCAAUCAGGGUGGAACCGCGGAAGCUAUUAAGGCUCUCGUCCCUUGC
rnacentral:ncRNA from 1 species